rnacentral:rRNA from 1 species
UCGAGAAUUUUUCUCAAUGGGGGAAACCCUGAAGGAGCGACGCCGCGUGGAGGAUGAAGGUCUUCGGAUUGUAAACUCCUGUCAUUGGUGAACAAGACAUGCCCGUUAACUGCGGGGGUGUUUGAUAGUAGCCGAAGAGGAAGGGACGGCUAACUCUGUGCCAGCAGCCGCGGUAAUACAGAGGUCCCGAGCGUUGUUCGGAUUCAUUGGGCGUAAAGGGUGCGUAGGCGGCUUGCUAAGUUUGAUGUGAAAUCCUGGGGCUCAACCCUGGGACUGCAUUGAAUACUGGCAGGCUAGAGUACUGGAGAGGAAACUGGAAUUUACGGUGUAGCAGUGAAAUGCGUAGAGAUCGUAAGGAAGACCAGUGGCGAAGGCGAGUUUCUGGACAGUUACUGACGCUGAGGCACGAAGGCCAGGGGAGCAAACGG